GGUGGCUCAGUGGUAGAGUGCUUGCCUUGCAUGCAUGAGGCCUUGGGUUCGAUUCCUCAGCCA
rnacentral:tRNA from 1 species